UGGGGAAUAUUGGACAAUGGGCGAAAGCCUGAUCCAGCAAUGCCGCGUGAGUGAUGAAGGCCCUAGGGUUGUAAAGCUCUUUUACCCGGGAUGAUAAUGACCGUACCGGGAGAAUAAGCCCCGGCUAACUCCGUGCCAGCAGCCGCGGUAAUACGGAGGGGGCUAGCGUUGUUCGGAAUUACUGGGCGUAAAGCGCGCGUAGGCGGCUUUGCAAGUUAGAGGUGAAAGCCCGGAGCUUAACUCCGGAACUGCCUUUAAAACUGCAUCGCUAGAAUCAUGGAGAGGUUAGUGGAAUUCCGAGUGUAGAGGUGAAAUUCGUAGAUAUUCGGAAGAACACCAGUGGCGAAGGCGACUAACUGGACAUGUAUUGACGCUGAGGUGCGAAAGCGUGGGGAGCAA
rnacentral:rRNA from 1 species